UUUUAUGAAGGUUUUUAACUUUUGAACUAGGUGUUGGCUUAAAUGGGCCAGCAUCCUGCCCUGUGGCGGGAGGCUAUGUGGGCCGAGUAAUGUUCGAAAUGGCGUGAGGCUGGGUUGGGCCGAGUCAUGUUCGAAGUGGCGUGAGGCCAGGUUGGCCGAGUCACAAUCGAGACCCGUAGGCGCUGUUUCUGUACGCUUUAAGUGAAUUGAUUGCGUAUUUCUAAUAGCUCGAGUUUUUGGGAUUAAUGGUUAACGCCAACGAUCCGACAAGUGGUAUCAGAGCCAGAGGUCACGGGUUCGAUUCCUAUAUGCUGCAAAUGUGUGGAGGUGCUAAAGGGGGAAUUGUUGGCUUAAAUGGGCCAGCAUUCUGCCCUGUGGCGGGAGGCUAUGUGGGCCGAGUUAUGUUCGAAAUGGCGUGAGGUUGGGUUGGGCCGAGUCAUGCUCGAAGUGGCGUGAGGCCAGUUUGGCCUAGUCACAAUCGAGAUCCGUGGGCGCUGUUUCUGUACGCUUUAAGUGAAUUAAUUGCGUAUUUCUAACAGUUCGAACUUUUGGGAUUAAUGGUUAGCGCCAACGAUCCGACAACUGGUACAUUCCAAAAUAACUCUGACUCUAACAUCUUUACCCUUGGCCAUGAACCUCCUUUAGAUUUUGGAUCGAUUUGAGGAUUGUUGGCUUAAAUGGGCCAGCAUCCUGCCCUGUGGCGGGAGGCCAUAUGGGCCGAGUUAUGUUCAAAGUGGCGUGAGGUAAGGUGGGCCGAGAAAAUUUUGGCUUCAUUUGGGAUGUAAUGUAACAUUUUGCAUAUCGCGAUGAGUCGGUUAUAAUAUAUUUUUCUGCGGUCCUAUCAGAGAACGUAGCUUUUAGCUUUUAUCUGGAACAACUACUUUACUUAUUAAGGCUUAGGCUUUGUUUGGGAUUGCGGGUGCGGUGGAAAUCGGCAUAUUGCGAUGAGUUGGUUACGAUAUAUUUUUUGCGGUCUCAUCGUAGAAUGCAUAAGUAUAUCCCUAUAUGCUUUUUCCUCAACUCCAUUUUAUCUAAUAACGUUAGAGAUGUCUCAAUACCAAACUAAGCCUUAGUCCAAUAGCUAAAAUAUUCUAGUAACUUAAUCAUUAAUUAGGGUCCCCACAAUCCUAACACACUAUAAAAUU
rnacentral:lncRNA from 1 species